CCUACGGGUGGCAGCAGUGAGGAAUAUUGGUCAAUGGGAGAGAUCCUGAACCAGCCAAGCCGCGUGAGGGAAGACGGCCCUAUGGGUUGUAAACCUCUUUUGUCGGAGAACAAAACCCGGGACGUGUCCCGUACUGCGUGUAUCCGAAGAAAAAGCAUCGGCUAACUCCGUGCCAGCAGCCGCGGUAAUACGGAGGAGGCGAGCGUUAUCCGGAUUUAUUGGGUUUAAAGGGUGCGUAGGCGGUCCGUUAAGUCCGCGGUAAAAUGUAGGGGCUUAACCGCGUCGAGCCGUUGAGACUGGCAGACCUGAGUUGGCGAGAGGUACGCGGAAUGCGCGGUGUAGCGGUGAAAUGCAUAGAUAUCGCGCAGAACUCCGAUUGCGAAGGCAGCGUACCGGCGCCAGACUGACGCUGAGGCACGAAAGCGUGGGGAUCGAACAGGAUUAGAUACCCGAGUAGUC
rnacentral:rRNA from 1 species